rnacentral:lncRNA from 1 species
UCUCUCCUCUCUCUUCUUCCUUCCCGCACACGAUAGAACCAGCUUCUUCUUCUUCUUUCUUCGUGCGCGAACCAGAAGCCGAAGAAGAUCAGAAGCAGCGAGCAUCACCGCCAGACGAAGACAGCAGCCGCUCGUCCCGCCGCCGCACCGCCGCCCGCGCGCUCGCCGCCGUUCCGCCGUCCGCGCGCUCGCCGCCGUUCCGCCGUCCGCGCGCGCCCAGGCCGCGCGAACCAGCCGCUGUUCGCUCCUGUUCCAGCUCCGACCAGCCACCGUCCGGCCACCUCCGGCCACCGUCCAGCUCCGCCGGACCUCCCCGGCGUUCCCCUCGUCCUCCGCCGGCCUUCCCUCGCCGUUUUGGCCGUCGGAUCUGCUCCGACCAGCCAAGGGCAGAAACCCACGAAAUGGGUUUCCAGCUGGUUCGGGCCCGUUUUGGGCCGUUUCCGGGCCCCGGAUCUGUGAAUCGCCUUGGGAAGUAUCGUUCCUCGCGUCGCCGCCGUCGGAUUGAUCCGACUUGCGCGUGAUUUGGUGAGUAAUCUCACUAAUCUUGGAUUAGUUGGCUAAUUAUGCUUAAGGUUGGUUUAGAUUUAAUUAAUUAUGUUUAGGUUGUUAGAUUAGAAUAAAUUAGCAAUUAUUAGUCAAUUGUGAUGUGAUUUAGAUAAUUUGAUUGUGCAAUUAACAAGUAGACAUGGUCUACUAAUUAUUGGAAGUGCCUCGGGAUUUUUUCCCGACCCUUAGUGGGCUCCAAUUAGGCUUUUCGGGCCUAAGUGGAUAUUUUUAGUAUUUAAUUAUUAAUUUUCGGAAUUAAAUUAAAUAAUUAUUUAUUUUCCGGAAAUUCAACUGAGAUGGCUCGGGAUCGGAAUAUUGUGCUGAUGACCGUGGUGAAGUCCGUUUAUUUAAUCGGGCUUUAUUUUGCACUAAAUUGAAUUUUUAAUAUUUAUUAAUUAAUUAUUUAUUUAUUUUUCGGAAAUUAAGAUUUUGAUGGCCGACGACCGAAAUCUCGUGCUGAUUGUCGUGGCGCAGUCCGUUUAUUUAUUUGAGCUCUACGUUGUAUGGAAUUGAAUGAAUUGUGAUAUUUUAGGGAUUUACCCUAAAUUGAUUGGAAUCGAUUGAGAUUGAAUUAUCGAUUGGUGAAUGGCCAAGUAUGUUCAUUCAGCAUUUAUAAUGCUUUGUUGAGUUAAUUUAAUUAUUUGAUUGAGUAUCGAUUGGUGAAUGGCCAAGUAUGUUAUUCAGUAUUCAUAAUGCUUUGUGGAGUUGAUUUAAUUAUUUGAUUGAGAAAUCGUUGAGCAUUGGUUGUCGGUAUUGAAAGAAGAUUGGUAACCACUUGAAAGAGGACACGUGUGCCCGGUGAAUUGGAAUGUCACCUGGAGAAUGCACGUGAGUUCAGUGGUUGAAUAUGUCACCUUGGCGAAGAGGUCGCCUGAGAGAAUGCACGUGGCUUGGAGACUCGGUAUGUCGUCCUGGAGAAUGCACGUGGCUCGGUGACAGAGGCUGGCAUCUAAAAGGGCACGUGGUCUCGGCGACCUGAUGCAUCGCUUUGGUGAAAUGCACCUGAGAGAAUGCACGUGGGCCCGGGCAUCUAAAAGGGCACAUGGUCUCGGCGACCUGAUGCAUCGCUUUGGUGAAAUGCACCUGAGAGAAUGCACGUGGGCUCGGGCAUCUAAAAGGGCACGUGGUCUCGGUGACUUGAUGCAUCACUUUGGCGAAAAGGUCGCCUGAGAGAAUGCACGUGGGCCCAAGGUUCGAGGCACGUGAACUCGGAGACUUGGAAUGUCGUCCUAGAGAAUGCACGUAACCUCGCUUUUAGAUACUCCUCUGUGGAGAGUGAUUUGUUUGACAUGUAAUCGACUAGGUCGAUGCUUUGAAUUGAUGUGAAUUGAUUGACUGAAUGGGAAUGACCGUGAGUGGUCUUGUUGGAAUAUAAUCGACUAGGUCGAUUUGAUCGAUGCUUCGAUCGGUGAUAUGAUUGCUUGGGUGCCUAUUAUGAAUUGUACUGACUUGCAGGUGGGAUCAGAGGCCAAGGUAAGUCAUCUGCCCUGUGCGUGUUUAGGCAGCCUGUAGUAUAAUAGUUUAUCUAAUCGGGCUUAGUGGGGUAGAACUCGCUGAGACGUAGUCUCAUCCCAGUUUGGGGAAAAACCAUUUCAGGACCCCGUUGAGGAGCUGAGGAGGAAUCUGAGAAGGAGAACUCGGAGGUGAAACCUGAGUAGAAGGAUUUUGGAAGAAGAAGAUAAUCCCGAGAAGGGCCUUGAGUAUGGCCUGGAUGGGCUGAGAGUCUAUCUUCUUUUGAGAAUUCAUUUUGAUGUGAAUAGUUAUGAAGUGAUUUGUGUUUUGUAUAAAAGUUUGGUUAUAAAUUUCAAUAUGAAAAAUAUGGCCCUGCUUUUCUA